GAGUUUGAUCAUGGCUCAGGAUGAACGUUAGCGGCGUGCCUAACACAUGCAAGUCGAACGAACAGCCAGAAUCUUAGGAAUCUGGCGGGUUAGUGGCGCACGGGUGAGUAACACGUAGGUGACCUGCCCCGAAGUGGGGGGACAACCACUGGAAACAGUGGCUAAUACCGCAUGUGCUUAGCCAUUCGGUUGGUUAAGUAAAGCUGAGGCGCUUCGGGAGGGGCCUGCGGUCGAUUAGCUAGUUGGUGAGGUAAUGGCUCACCAAGGCGAUGAUCGAUAGGGGGCGUGAGAGCGUGACCCCCCACACUGGGACUGAGACACGGCCCGACGACUCCUACGGGAGGCAGCAGUGAGGAAUAUUGCACAAUGGGCGCAAGCCUGAUGCAGCAACGCCGCGU
rnacentral:rRNA from 1 species